CGGGGUGGAGUAACGCGUGGGUAACCUGCCUUGUACAGGGGGAUAACAGUUGGAAACGGCUGCUAAUACCGCAUAAGCGCACGGCAUCGCAUGAUGCAGUGUGAAAAACUCCGGUGGUAUAAGAUGGACCCGCGUUGGAUUAGCUAGUUGGUGAGGUAACGGCCCACCAAGGCGACGAUCCAUAGCCGACCUGAGAGGGUGACCGGCCACAUUGGGACUGAGACACGGCCCAA
rnacentral:rRNA from 1 species